AUGGACCCGCGCCGUAUUAGCUAGUUGGUGGGGUAACGGCCUACCAAGGCGACGAUACGUAGCCGACCUGAGAGGGUGAUCGGCCACACUGGAACUGAGACACGGUCCAGACUCCUACGGGAGGCAGCAGUAGGGAAUCUUCCGCAAUGGGCGAAAGCCUGACGGAGCAACGCCGCGUGAGUGAUGAAGGUCUUCGGAUCGUAAAGCUCUGUUGUUAGGGAAGAACAAAUGUGUAAGUAACUGUGCACAUCUUGACGGUACCUAACCAGAAAGCCACGGCUAACUACGUGCCAGCAGCCGCGGUAAUACGUAGGUGGCAAGCGUUAUCCGGAAUUAUUGGGCGUAAAGCGCGCGUAGGCGGUUUUUUAAGUCUGAUGUGAAAGCCCACGGCUCAACCGUGGAGGGUCAUUGGAAACUGGAAAACUUGAGUGCAGAAGAGGAGAGUGGAAUUCCAUGUGUAGCGGUGAAAUGCGCAGAGAUAUGGAGGAACACCAGUGGCGAAGGCGGCUUUCUGGUCUGCAACUGACGCUGAUGUGCGAAAGCGUGGGGAUCAAACAGGAUUAGAUACCCUGGUAGUCCACGCCGUAAACGAUGAGUGCUAAGUGUUAGGGGGUUUCCGCCCCUUAGUGCUGCAGCUAACGCAUUAAGCACUCCGCCUGGGGAGUACGGUCGCAAG
rnacentral:rRNA from 1 species